GUGUCAGGUCUAUCAUUGAGAUG
rnacentral:snRNA from 1 species